rnacentral:rRNA from 1 species
UACGUAGGGUGCGAGCGUUGUCCGGAAUUAUUGGGCGUAAAGAGCUCGUAGGCGGUGUGUCGCGUCGGCCGUGAAAACCUGUGGCUUAACCAUGGGCUUGCGGUCGAUACGGGCAUCACUGGAGUUCGGCAGGGGAGACUGGAAUUCCUGGUGUAGCGGUGAAAUGCGCAGAUAUCAGGAGGGAACACCCGGUGGCGAAGGCGGGUCUCUGGACAGUUCCUG